rnacentral:rRNA from 1 species
AUUGAACGCUGGCGGCGUGCUUAACACAUGCAAGUCGAUCGGUAACGCGGGGGCAACCCUGGCGACGAGAGGCGGACGGGUGAGGAACGCUUGGGAAUCUGCCUAUCAGCGGGGGACAACCCGGGGAAACUCGGGCUAAUACCGCAUACGCUCUACGGAGGAAAGCCGGGGACCGCAAGGCCUGGCCCUGAUAGCUGGGGCGAAGUCGGAUUAGCUAGUUGGCGGGGUAACGGCCCACCAAGGCGACGAUCCGUAGCUGGUCUGAGAGGACGAUCAGCCACACUGGGACUGAGACACGGCCCAGACUCCUACGGGAGGCAGCAGUGGGGAAUAUUGGACAAUGGGGGAAACCCUGAUCCAGCGACGCCGUGUGGGUGAAGAAGGCCUGCGGGUUGUAAAGCCCUUUCGGUAGGGACGAAAGCUCUCGACCUAACACGUCGGGAGGUUGACUUAACCUACAAAAGAAGCACCGGCUAACUCUGUGCCAGCAGCCGCCGUAAUAC